rnacentral:rRNA from 1 species
GGUCCGAUGAACUAUAAUGUUGGAUCUGGCCUGCCCAGUGAUUGAUUUUUAAUGGCCGCAGUAUUUUGACUGUGCAAAGGUAGCAUAAUCAUUAGUCCUUUAAUUGGGGUCUGGUAUGAAGGGUUGAACGAGGGAGGGACUGUCUAGUUAUUAUGUGUUGAAAUUUUAUUUUUGGGUGAAAAAGCUCAAAUGAUCUUGGGGGACGAUAAGACCCUAUAGAGCUUUACAUUUUGCGGCUUAAAGUGAGGUUAAAGUGUGCGGAGUGUUUUGUUGGGGUGACGGGGAGAUAAGAUAAACUCUCUUAUAUUAAGGUUACUGAUUGGUAUUGGUUUGAUCCGUUGACUAGCGAUAAUUGGAUUAAGUUACCUUAGGGAUAACAGCGUAAUCCUUCUUGAGAGUUCAUAUCGACAGGAGGGGUUGCGACCUCGAUGUUGGAUUAAGAGAUUGUAAUGGUGCAGGAGCUGUUAUGGAGGGUCUGUUCGACCCUUAAUUUCUUACA